rnacentral:ncRNA from 1 species
CUAAAGCAACAGGGGCAUCCGGCAUCCGCCGGGUUGAGACGUACCCUCUGAACCUGACCCGGCUCAUACCGGCGGAGGAAGUUGCGCGUCGGCUGCC